UACGUAGGGUGCGAGCGUUAAUCGGAUUUACUGGGCGUAAAGCGCACGUAGGCGGUUUUUUAAGUCAGAUGUGAAAGCCCCGGGCUCAACCUGGGAAUUGCGCUUGUGACUGGCGGGCUCGAGUACGGUAGAGGGGGGUGGAAUUCCUGGUGUAGCAGUGAAAUGCGUAGAGAUCAGGAGGAACACCGAUGGCGAAGGCAGCCCCCUGGGCCUGUACUGACGCUCAUGCACGAAAGCGUGGGGAGCAAACAGG
rnacentral:rRNA from 1 species